GAUCAACGCUGGCGGCGUGCCUAACGCAUGUAAGUCGCGCGGCCGGUCGUUCGGACCGGCAGCGGCGAACGGCUGAGGAACACGUACGAACCUGCCCGACCGUGGGGAAUAACGCGCCGAAAGGCGUGCUAAUACCGCGUACGCUCGGCCUGCGGGCUGAGGAAAGCCGCGAGGCGCGGUCGGAGGGGCGUGCGGCCCAUCAGGUGGUUGGCGGGGUAACGCCCACCAAGCCGGUGACGGGUAGCNGGGUCUGUGAGGACGAUCAGCCAGACUGGGACUGAGACACGGCCCAGACACCUACGGGAGGCAGCAGUGGGGAAUUUUGGACAAUGGGCGCAAGCCUGAUCCAGCCAUUCCGCGUGCAGGAUGAAGGCCUU
rnacentral:rRNA from 1 species